rnacentral:misc_RNA from 1 species
UACAGAGGGUGCAAGCGUUGUUCGGAAUCAUCGGGCGUAAAGGGCGUGUAGGCGGUCUGUUAAGUCAUGUGUGAAAGCCCCGGGCUCAACCUGGGAAGUGCAUUGGAAACUGGGAAACUUGAAUACGGGAGAGGGCAGUGGAGUUCCUAGUGUAGGAGUGAAAUCCGUAGAUAUUAGGAGGAACACCGGUGGCGAAGGCGGCUGCCUGGACCGAUAUUGACGCUGAGACGCGAAAGCGUGGGUAGCAAACAGG